rnacentral:lncRNA from 1 species
CUUGAUACUAUGUUAAAACCAUUGAUUUGCUUGAUACAUUUUCGAUUCAUAUUUUUUGCAAAUUUAAAUGACUGAUUGUUGUUAAAAAAAGGGAAGAAUGAAUAUUGAAGUAAAUGUUGUACCUCAUUUCAUCAUUCAAAUCUUUGAAAAGAUUUAUUCCUCCUAAAGCUUAAAAAUAUUUAUUUGAAAAUCUGAUUUAAAGAGUCAAAUUCAUUCAAAA